rnacentral:rRNA from 1 species
GGGGAAUAUUGCACAAUGGGCGAAAGCCUGAUGCAGCAACGCCGCGUGAGUGAUGAAGGUCUUCGGAUUGUAAAGCUCUGUCUUUUGGGACGAUAAUGACGGUACCAAAGGAGGAAGCCACGGCUAACUACGUGCCAGCAGCCGCGGUAAUACGUAGGUGGCGAGCGUUGUCCGGAUUUACUGGGCGUAAAGGGUGCGUAGGCGGAUGUUUAAGUGAGAUGUGAAAUACCCGGGCUUAACUUGGGUGCUGCAUUUCAAACUGGAUAUCUAGAGUGCAGGAGAGGAGAAUGGAAUUCCUAGUGUAGCGGUGAAAUGCGUAGAGAUUAGGAAGAACACCAGUGGCGAAGGCGAUUCUCUGGACUGUAACUGACGCUGAGGCACGAAAGCGUGGGUAGCAAACAGGAUUAGAUACCCUGGUAGUCCACGCCGUAAACGAUGAGUACUAGGUGUAGGAGGUAUCGACCCCUUCUGUGCCGCAGUAAACAC